CCUACGGGGGGCUGCAGUGGGGAAUAUUGGACAAUGGGGGCAACCCUGAUCCAGCCAUGCCGCGUGUGUGAAGAAGGCCCUCGGGUUGUAAAGCACUUUCAGUGGGGAAGAACGCCUGGUGGUUAAUACCCAUCAGGAAAGACAUCACUCACAGAAGAAGCACCGGCUAACUCCGUGCCAGCAGCCGCGGUAAUACGGAGGGUGCGAGCGUUAAUCGGAAUUACUGGGCGUAAAGCGCGCGUAGGUGGCUUGAUAAGCCGGUUGUGAAAGCCCCGGGCUCAACCUGGGAACGGCAUUCGGAACUGUCAAGCUAGAGUGCAGGAGAGGAAGGUAGAAUUCCCGGUGUAGCGGUGAAAUGCGUAGAGAUCGGGAGGAAUACCAGUGGCGAAGGCGGCCUUCUGGACUGACACUGACACUGAGGUGCGAAAGCGUGGGGAGCAAACAGGAUUAGAUACCCCAGUAGUC
rnacentral:rRNA from 1 species